ACGAAAGGGGCCCUCCCCUUGAGAUGCUACUGGGUUUUACAUCCAGACUGAGCUUCCUUCCCUCACCCACAUGAAGUGCCUACCUUCUGCAGACUCAGUGGCUCAGGAACUGGGGAUGCAGUGCCAGGCUCGUGGUAUCCUGCAGCAGAUGUGGGGAGUUUUCCUUCUUUAUGUUUCCAUGAAGAUGGGAGGCACUGCAGGACAAAACAUUGGCCAGCCCACGGAGGUGGCAGCUAUGGAAGGAGCCAUUGUCCAGAUCAAAUGCACAUAUCAGACAACUGGGUUCAACGGGCUGUCCUGGUACCAGCAACGUGAUGGCAAAGCACCCACAUUUCUUUCUUACAAUGUUCUGGAUGGUUUGGAGGAGAAAGGUCAUUUUUCUUCAUUCCUUAAUCGCUCUAAAGGGUAUAGUUACCUCCUUGUGAAGGAGCUCCAGAUGAAAGACUCUGGCUCUUACCUCUGUGCUGUGAGGGACACGGUGACUAUGAGGCCUCUUUAGCUGCACCAAAAUUGAAGAGGCAAUCAGAGCAGUGAGAAGUUAUAUUUCCUGAGUGUAUGCCUGCUGUAAGUUAAGACUGGGGACUUUGGAACCAGACUGCCUGGACUUGAGUUUGCUACUUUCUAGUUGGAUGGUCUUCAGCCAGUCACUAUAUUUUUGUUUAUUUCCUUAUCUAUAAAGUGAGAAUAAUAAGAGUAUCUACCUCACAAGGCUGUUGUGAGUUAUGAUUCUCUAUUUAUAUUAGCUAUGUCUAUAUCUAGAGCUAUAUCUAGUGUUACUGAGAGCAGUAGUGGCACACAGUAAGCUCUAUUCAAGUUUACUUAUUUCAAUUCUAGUCUUGAAUUUUCACUAAGUUUUGUGUGUUAGGGCCUCUGGGACUGGAACUCAGUAUUUCUCUCCCCUUGUUUUGUAAAAGGUGAAAUCCUGACCACUAUUUGUAUCUUGUGGAUCUAAAGCUGUAAGAUGGGGUUUGUCAUUGGGGUGGAUUGCUGCCCUGGAGGGAUCACUGCGGUGAUACUCAUUUUCUUCAAGGAGACUCUGAACUUUGGAAAUCCAAAUUCAAAUGCUUCAGAGUGAGAUAUUAAGUAUUCUGGUUAAUUAUGUAAGGCUAUCUUCAUCAUGUGCAUCCUCGAUAAGUAAAUAUAAUCUUAACAUAUUUUGGAGGUUUAUAACUCAGGUUAGAAGUGAAGUUUAGGGGCUUUAGACUUGAGGAGGAUGAACAUAAUCAGGGGAGCCAAUAGAAGAUGGCAAAGAAGAGUGAAGAUAGCAAUUUGGUGGCAAAUCUGGGUGAAGCAGGAGAGCCAG